ensembl:rRNA 5S_rRNA 5S ribosomal RNA
GUCUACGGCAAUACCACCCUGAACACGCCCAAUCUCGUCUGAUCGCGGAAGCUAAGCAGGGUCAGGUCUGUACUUGGAUGAGAGAGGAAAGAGAGUGAUAGGGU